GCAAAUUUAAUCGAAAUCACAAGCGGUUACUUUUCUAUUCAAUGGCAAUGUGGACUGAAAUUCAAACAGAUUGAGGGUUUUAUGUUCAUGUCACCUCCAGAAUGGGAUGGACAGAGAGCAGAUUACACCAUUUCUUCAUAUGUUUUAUCCUAAUCUUCAAGAUCGUGUUAAAUGAGUAUUAAGGCACAUCCAGUGACAGGAUCAACAUCCGAGAUGGUUUUUGAGAGAUAUUGGGGGUAUUUUAUUUAAACAUCGUAGCUCUUAAAACUGAAUUUCCAAAGAGAUGCUGGUGCUCCAGUAUACCUGAAUUAAUUCCAUCAUUCUCACUUCAGCACUUCAAAAGAAAAGACCCAGAUUUGUUGGAAGUGACCAUGUAGAUGACGUUAUAUUUGUAUAUUAGUUACAUUUUUAAUUAAAAUGGUUAUUUUGCAUUUUUAAAUUAAGUUUGUAUAAAAAUUAUAUAACUUUUGGCAGUCCGAUCACAUAACAAGUGAAAAAAGGAGAGUUGCAGUUGAUUUUACAUCUGUUUCAUUCAUCAUACUGGAAUUGGAAGGUCAAGUUGAGUGCAUUUCAUUGGAGCAUUGUGUAUCCAGUGCAGGAUGAUCUGUUCUAUACUGUACAUUGGAGCUAAUGUAGUUGGUUAUCCAGGUUUUCUAAGCCAUGAACCAAACCAGCUAGCUCCAAGGUGAAUUAUAAAAGAAAAAAUUUGAUUUGAAGGAAUAAAGUAUUUGAAAAUAGGUAAAAAAAAGACAAAGGUAUGUGUACUUACCGUCUUAGCGAGAAUAAACUGUUCCCUUCUUGGGAUCUCUCAGUGGUCCUCUAGGGUCUUCAGAGGCCCUCCUUUGAGCUGCUUGAUUCAGUCGAGCUGAAGGCCUUCUCCCUGAAGGCGGCCCUCCUGAUCGCGUUAGCCUCCAUCAAGAGGGUUGGAGCGUUCUCUGUCAGCGACACCUGCCUAGAGUUUGGACCAGCGCUUUCUCACGUUAUCCUGACUACGUGCCCAAAGGUUCCUACGACCCCUUUCAGGGACCAGGUCGUGAACCUGCAAGCGCUGCCUCAAGAGGAGGCAAACUCAGCCCUUUCGUUGCUGUGUCCAGUGCAUGCUUUGCGUACCUAUUUGGACCACACGCAGAGCUUUAGAUGUUCUGAGCAGCUCUUAGUCUGCUUUGGCGGACGGCGGAAAGGGAACGCCGUCUCGAAACAGAGGUUAGCCCACUGGGUCGUUGAUGCUAUUGCCUUAGCCUAUCACACCCAGGCCAUGCCCGCCCCUUGCAGGUUUGAGCACACUCUACUAGAAGAGUGGCAUCCUCGUGGGCACUGAGCCAUGGCACCUCCCUUGCAGACAUCUGCAGAGCAGCGGACUGGGCAACACCCAGUACCUUUGCCAGGUUUUACAAUCUGAGGUUUGAGUCGGUCUCGUCCCGUGUUUUGUCAGAUCCGAGCUGGUAGAACUCGUAACGCAGCACAACCGACCUGGUGUUCCGCUUGCACCUUGCCCCCUUCACCAAGUUGAUCCAGUGCGCUUUCUGUCCCAGGUCACCCACUGAGCGUCGCUACCUGGAUGUUUCUCCUCCCUAGCCUGCUGGCCCGCGAAUUAAGUGGAGCAAUUCGCGGCCAGACCCACUACGAGUCUCAAAUGCUCUGUACUGGGGUCGGGCUCCACGGGCAUAGUUCCCUCUUCAGGCUAACUCCUCAUGAUGUAUUUUCCACUGUACGGUCCCCCUUGUCAGCGGACCCGCGUUUCCCCCAGGCAGCCCCUCUGCCCCGGCUGCCGUGCUUGUAGAGUCCCCCCUCAUUAGGCUGGACCUACCACUGGGCCAUAUCCCACAUCCGGCUUCACAACCCUUGUGAUGUAUUUACCACGCAGUACCUCCCCCUAAAACUGGGCAGGGAGUGGACUCCACAGGGUCUUUCCCUCCUGAAAGAAUAGAAAAUUUGCAGACCGGACAGCUACUUUGCCUCCGGCCUCGCCUACAGCCCUGGCACGCCAGCGCUAACGAGUUCUGAAGACGCCCCCUUAGGCCUCUUCCUCAGUCUCUAAAUCCGCCCCUGCCGGGUGCGCAGAACAGGGUAAGGGCUUCGAGGCUUCUCUCAGCACCCUAGCCUCGGUACAUCCUCCUGCUCCCGACAUGCUAUCUCCUGCUCCCCCAGCGGGGAAAGACUGCCUUCCCUGACUUAAGAUGUGCCCCAGCCGCUUUACAUCCUAUGUGAGAGACAUAGUGAGACUGCUGGGCUUGCUCCCAUGCUAGGCAUGUAACACCUUUUUCCCCCUCAAGGGUGCGGGAAACCUAAGGUUUGUAGCAAAAAAAGAAAAAAAGGAGUUGGGGGCGUUGGGGAGGGCUACAUGCAGCCGGCACAGGCGCCUCUAGCACGCAAUAACCUGCUGUGCACCUGUUUCGACAGUCACAUAACACGGUCAGUGCAUGGCACUUUUCUAUGGACCCCUUGUGUCACUUCAUUCGACACAACGUCGAGAGAGUGACAGAAGGGGAACGUCAUGGUUACUGUCUUAACCUCCGUUCCCCGAGGGAGGGAACGAGGCGUUGUGUCCCUCCUGGCAUGCAAAUUCUGUCUGCCAACUUGACAUUGGCCUUUCCUCAGGUUCAGAGGUACGAUUCGGCGUCCAAGGAAGACCCCUUGUGUCACUUCAUUUGACACAAUGUCUCGUUCCCUCCCUCGGGGAACGGAGGUUAUGACAGUAACCAUGACGUUUUCUUCAUUUGACUGUUUCCUUGUCUUGAAUAAUUACUAGAGAAAUUGAACGAUGUUUACCUAACAUCGACAAAUGUAACUGAUAUUGGUAGUUGGGGGGAACUCUGCUUAAGGCAACAAAAGUAGACUAUGCACAUUUCAUGAAUAUCUAUUGUACAGAACGGUGGCAAGAAUGUCUUAUACAAUGUCAAACUUCCACAACAUUUCUGUAUUUAAAACGUGUUUGUGGCAGGGCAAAGGGCGGGACCGGGUCGUGAUUCUACACACCAGGUCCCUUAUCAGGCUAAUCAAGCCUCUGAGAGGGAUAAAGGCCGACUGUGGAGGAUGGUG